rnacentral:rRNA from 1 species
UCSCCUGUUUAUCAAAAACAUAGCCAUUAGUAAUUGUUAUUGGUGAUUUYUGCUCAAUGAUAUAUUAAAUAGCCGCAGUACCCUGACUGUGCAAAGGUAGCAUAAUAAAUUGGCUUAUAAUUAAAGUCUAGAAUGAAUGAGAUAAUGGAGAAUAACUGUAUCUUGAGUGUUAUAUAAAAUUACUUAGCACGUGAAAAUUCGUGUAACUAACUAAUAGACGAGAAGACCCUAGAAAUUUUAAGAACUUGUUUACAUGGUUUUUGUUGGGGCAACAGUGUAACAAAUAACUUACAUUAUUUACAAGAAAUAUAAUUUGAUAGAAUAAAUUACUCUAGGGAUAACAGCGUAAUGUUAUAACGUUUGCGACCUCGAUGUUGGACUAGGAUACGAAAG